UCCCUGGUGGUCCAAUGGUUAGGAAUCUGUCUGCUAAUGCAGGGGACACAGGUUCAAUCCCUGACCUGGGAA
rnacentral:tRNA from 1 species